rnacentral:rRNA from 1 species
UACGGAGGGGACUAGCGUUGUUCGGAAUUACUGGGCGUAAAGCGCACGUAGGCGGAUUUGUAAGUCAGGGGUGAAAUCCCGGGGCUCAACCUCGGAACUGCCUUUGAUACUGCAAAUCUCGAGUCCGGAAGAGGUGAGUGGAAUUCCUAGUGUAGAGGUGAAAUUCGUAGAUAUUAGGAAGAACACCAACGGCGAAGGCGGCUCACUGGCCCGGUACUGACGCUGAGGCACGAAAGCGUGGGGAGCAAACAGG